UAAUAAUGUAGGUAAGGGAAGUCGGCAAAUCCGAUCCGUAACUUCGGAAUAAGGAUUGGCUCUGAGGACUGUCGUGCCGGGCUUGGUCGGGAAGUGGAGCGGUGUCAACGUGCCGGGCCUGGACGAGGAGAAAAUUGCGUAUCUGCGCUUUUGGAUCCGAGCUCGGUCCCGUGCUUUGGCCACCCACGGAUCUUCCUUGCUGCGAGUGGUUAGCCGUGUGGUUACCGCUUGCUUUUGCUAGCUAGUCGACCUGGCUUACGAUCUCUUCGGCUGAUAUUCAACAGUCAACUCAGAACUGGCACGGACAACGGGAAUCCGACUGUCUAAUUAAAACAAAGCAUUGCGAUGGCCCCAACGGGUGUUGACGCAAUGUGAUUUCUGCCCAGUGUUCUGAAUAUCAAAGUGAAUAUAUAUAUUCGCAGAGGGCUUUCUAUCAAAAAAUAAAAAUAUAAUUUAUAAAAGUAGCAACAGAAUAUUACUGUGUCUUCCUAACUUA
rfam:Rhodnius prolixus Rhodnius_prolixus-3.0.3-107.33, whole genome shotgun sequence.